rnacentral:rRNA from 1 species
UGCGUAGGUGGUUAAGUAAGUUAUCUGUGAAAUCCCUGGGCUCAACCUGGGCAGGUCAGAUAAAACUGUUUAACUCGAGUAUGGGAGAGGGUAGUGGAAUUUCCGGUGUAGCGGUGAAAUGCGUAGAGAUCGGAAGGAACACCAGUGGCGAAGGCGGCUACCUGGCCCAAUACUGACACUGAGGCACGAAAGCGUGGGGAGCAAACA